rnacentral:rRNA from 1 species
CCUACGGGAGGCAGCAGUGGGGAAUAUUGUACAAUGGGGGAAACCCUGAUGCAGCGACGCCGCGUGCGUGAAGAAGUAUUUCGGUACGUAAAGCUCUAUCAGCAGGGAAGAAAAAAAGUCCUUUGGACUUUGGACGGUACCUGACCAAGAAGCCCCGGCUAACUACGUGCCAGCAGCCGCGGUAAUACGUAGGGGGCAAGCGUUAUCCGGAUUUACUGGGGGUAAAGGGAGCGUAGACGGCAGCGCAAGUCUGGAGUGAAAUGCCGGGGCCCAACCCCGGAACUGCUUGGGAAACUGUGCAGCUGGAGUGCAGGAGAGGUAAGCGGAAUUCCUAGUGUAGCGGUGAAAUGCGUAGAUAUGAGGAGGAACACCAGUGGCGAAGGCGGCUUACUGGACUGUAACUGACGUUGAUGCUCGAAAGCGGGGGGAGCAAACAGGAUUAGAUACCCCUGUAGUC